UACGGGGGGAGCAAGCGUUGUUCGGAUUUACUGGGCGUAAAGGGCGCGUAGGCGGCGCAACAAGUCACUUGUGAAAUCUCCGGGCUUAACUCGGAAAGGUCAACUGAUACUGUGCGACUAGAGUGCAGAAGGGGCAACUGGAAUUCUCGGUGUAGCGGUGAAAUGCGUAGAUAUCGAGAGGAACACCUGCGGCGAAGGCGGGUUGCUGGGCUGACACUGACGCUGAUGCGCGAAAGCCAGGGGAGCGAACAGG
rnacentral:rRNA from 1 species